GUCUGUUUGCAUAUAUAAACAGUCUAACCUGCCCGCUGACAAAAAGUUGAAGGGCCGCGGUAUUCUGACCGUGCAAAGGUAGCAUAAUCGUUAGUUCUUUAAAUGGGAUCUAGUAUGAAUGGUUGGACAAAAUAAGAACUGUCUUGGUAAUUGAAAUGGAAUUUAACUUUUAAGUGAAAAGGCUUAAAUACACUAGGGGGACGAUAAGACCCUAUAAAGCUUGAUAUAGAUUAACGGUAAACUUAAUUUUAGGAAUAUAAAAGUUUUUCUAGUUAAUUUUUAUUUUAUUGGGGCGAUAAAAGUAAAAGUAAUAAUAACUGCUUUGUUAAAAUACACAUAUGGGUGAUGAUAAAAAAAUAAAUGAUCCUAAAUAAAGAUUAAAAGAUUAAGUUACUUUAGGGAUAACAGCGUCAUUUUUCUUGAGAGUCCCUAUCGAAAGAAAAGCUUGCGACCUCGAUGUUGAAUUAAAAUUUCUCUAUCAAUUGUAUCCGUUAUAGAAGAAGGUCUGUUCGACCUUUAAAAUUUUACAUGAUUUGAGUUCAGACCGGCGUGAG
rnacentral:rRNA from 1 species